rnacentral:lncRNA from 1 species
ACGAACUGUCUGAAAUUGUUGAAAAUAUUGAUCAUUAUAAUACAAAUAAUAUGAAGUUUACAUCUUUUUUUUCAACCAUUAUGAUUAUAUUAGAUGAAGAAACAAUUAUAUAUGAUAAAAACAAUCGAAAUUAUUAUGAUUGUGAUAAAUUAACAUUUACACGUUUAUUAACUGAUAAGAAAAAAAAAGAAACGAUCAGGAUAUUAUUAUUUAUAGAUCAAAAAAUACCUUUUUUUGAACUUUCACCAGCAUUUAAUAAUUUCAUGCAAUCGGAUGAAGAAACCAUGCCAGAAAUAAUAAAAUAUAUUUAUGAAUAUAGUUUAGAAAAAGGAUUAAUUGAUUCGAAUAGUAAUAUGAAAACAGAUGAAGCACUAAAAAAUAUAUUAGAAGUAGAUGAAUACAAAUUCUCAGAUUUACCAAAACUUUUGCAAAAACAUCUUAUUAUACAAAAACCAAUAGUAUUAGAACAUACAUUGGAUUUUGAAAAUGCAUAUGAGUCAGAAAGUAUAUAUGAUAUUGUUAUUGACAUCUUUGAACCAUUUAUGACUUUAGAUAAUGGACAACGUCAAAAGUUUAUAUUAGAUUCACAUGCCCUAAAUAAUUUAAUAGAAUUUUUAAAAGUGAAUGAAACAGAGUUUGCUACUAAGAGUCGACCACAAAGGGGCAAUGAUUUUGAUACUGGUGUUAAUGAACCCACUAAUGAACCCAUUAAUGAACCAAUUAAUGAACCAAUUAAUGAACCAAUUAAUGAACCCAUUAAUGAACCCAUUAAUGAACCAAUCAAUGAACCAAUCAAUGAACCCAUUAAUGAACCAAUUAAUGAACCUAUUAAUGAACCUAUUAAUGAACCUAUUAAUGAACCUAUUAAUGAACCGAUUAAUGAACCGAUUAAUGAACUAGCUAAUGAACCCAUCAAUGAACCAACUAACAAACAUGCUAACGAACACGCCAACGAAUCCACAUCCACGGAUUGUCAUAAUAACCAUAGUGAUUGUACAGGUUAUAACAAUAACAGCAAAUAUACUAACUGCAAUAAAGACAUAGAAUCCACUAAUAAUCAUGUUUUGUCAAACGAAAACGUAGAAAUUAAAGAAACAGAUGUAAAAAACGAAAAAGGAAAUAUAAAAUCUGCAGAUGAUAUAUCAAAAGAUAAAAUUUUAAAAGAAGAUAAUUAUGAAAGAGAGGAAGACGUAGGAAAUGAACAAACACGUGUUAAUAAUAAAAAAAUAUGUAAAUCAGAUGAUACAUAUAAUGAUAAUAAAUGCUUAAGCUGUUCUUCAUCUGCGACUAUUUCUAUAUUUGAAAAAAUACAUGAAAUACAAAACGAAAUAGAGGAUAUGGAUAAGCAUAUUGUUAAUAUAUUAAAUAAAAUAGAACAAAAAAAUAGCAUAAGAUUAUUUUACAAAAAAUUUUAUGAAAAUCCAUGUAAAUUUAUUGAUCAUGUUAUGAAUAGUAAGUUUUCAAUAAGUCCAGAAAAUAUAAGUGACAAUAGCUAUAUAUAUGACCAUGCAGUCAAUGUUAACGACGAUCAAUAUUAUAAGCUCCCAUGGGUUCACAAGGGCAUUUCAACAUAUUUGUCAUUAAAAAACCAGUGCUUUGAUGACGUUCUUAAAUCUUCUUUAAAUAUUAUAAAUUAUGGAAGCAAAGGAAAUAUAAAUAGUAAUAUAAACGAAAGUGUAAAUCCAUACCUAAACCAAUCCCCAAACCUAAACCAACAACCAAACCUAAACACAAACGCAAACCUAAACACAAACGCAGACCUAAACAUAAACGUAAACACAAAUACGAAUACAAAUACAAACACAAAUACAAACACAAAUACUAACGCAAACCUAAACCUAAACAUAAACGCAAACACAAAUACAAACACAAAUACAAAUACAAACACAAAUACAAACGCAAACCUAAACAUAAACGCAAACACAAAUACAAAUACAAAUACAAACACAAACGCAAAUACAAAUACAAACGCAAACACAAACGCAAAUACAAAUACAAACGCAAACACAAACGCAAAUACAAAUACAACGACAUGCGCAAACAUGAAAAAAGUCAAAGACAAAAACAGAAAAAAGCAAAAAGUAAAAACUUCAAAUGAACAACAUUUAGAAAAAUUAUAUAGUCCAUAUAAUCUAUAUAAUCAGCAAUUUAAUCCUAAUUUUAUAAACCAACAAGGUAUAAACAGUAAUAAUUUUAAUUUUAAUAACAAUUUUAACAAUUUUAAUAAUAAUUUUAAUAACAAUUUUAAUAACAAUUUUAAUAAUAAUUUUAAUAAUAGUAGUAGUAGUAGUAAUAGUAGUAGUAAUAAUAACUGUGCAUAUUAUUAUCCCACAAAUCCAAAUAUGUAUUAUAAUAAUAUACCUGUAGGGUUUAAUAAUUUUGUGCAAAGUUAUGCUGGUACUGGUAGUGCGUCGAUUAAUGUACCUGUUAAUGUACCGGCUAGUGUACCUUUUAAUGUACCAUUUCCGGCCCCUGUCAAUGUACCUGUUACUGCAGCUACUAAUAAUAUAUGUUACAAAAAUAAUGAUUUAUCAAAUAAUUAUAACAUUAAUAGUAAUUGUUGCUUAACAAAUAACAAUUUGUCAACAAAUUUUAAUACUGAAAAUAUAUAUGUUAAUAAUGUGGAACCAUGUAAUUUCAAUUUAUACAAUAAUAGUCAGCAAAUGGCACCAGUACCAUAUCAUCCGGAAUAUAUGAUAAACAUGGUUCCUUUUAAUGAAAUGAACUCUCAAAAUAAUUCGAAUCCAUUGUCUAAUGAAACCGCACCUAUACCCAUACCUAUGCAUAUGAAUGAAUACCCCAAUGACAACAAUUUUAAUCCUGGUGAUAAUUACGUUUCACAAAAAAUGGAUGACAGUAAAGCAAUUUCACAGGGAAAUGCAUAACUCCCGGUAAAAUAAUAUAAUAAUAAACUUAUUAACAAUGUAGUGAAAAACGUUCA